rnacentral:rRNA from 1 species
GAAGGAUAAGGAGGGCAACAAACUCAACCCGAUAACACUCAAAGGAGUGGAAGGAAGUGACCCGAAACGCAUUGCUGCCAAACUUUCGGAAAUCAAUGAGAAAGCCUGCCUCUUGGUUUGAUCUUGGUGAACGGACGUCCUUUGGAUCUUUCUUGGGAGGAUCAGCAUGUCGACGGUAUCUUGGAGGCUUGGUAUCUGGGUACGAUGGCAGGUCAUGGUAUGGCCGAUGUGAUCAGUGGCGAUUAUAAUCCGUCCGCUCGCCUGACGAUGUCUUUCCCUCGUACGGUAGGUCAAUUGCCUCUGUAUUACAACCAGAAACCGACAGGCCGCCCGGUUCCUCCGGAAGCUCCGGAUACGGAUUAUAAAUCCAGAUAUAUGGAUGUGCCUAACACACCGUUGUACCCGUUCGGUUAUGGCUUGAGCUAUACGACUUUCGCCGUGAACUCUAUGAAGCUGGAUCAGAACUCUUUCACGAAAGGGGGAAAAGUCACGGUAACGGCUGAGGUAGAGACUACAAUAUCCAGACCAAGCAGGAAGACAAGGGCAAUGUGUAUCUGAACAUGAACGUACAGGGUGUGUUUACCUCCGCGACCGUUAGCUUGAUGCUUACCAACGGAACAAACAACGCAACCGUUACCGUAGACCCGAACUUCUCCGGUAGAAACUUGAGAAUGACCGGUACCCUGCUUCCGUACUCACAAUCGAACAUUUUCCAGGAAACAACAUAUUAAUCAUGUCCAACUUUUCUAUAAACUCCCCGAAAUGCAUUUAGGUGCAGCCUCUUUAUAGUAUAUCGUGAGGUAGAGCGACUGAUUGGAUGCGAGGGCUUCACCGCCUAUCAAGUCCAGAUAAACUCCGAAUGCGCGAUAUAUAUUUAAAGGGAGUGAGGGCGCGGGUGCUAAGGUCCGUGUCCGAGAGGAGAAGAAUCCAGACCACCGGCUAAGGCCCCCAAAUGAUCGUUGAGUUGAACUAACGAGGUCGGAUCGCAGAGACAGCUAGGAUGUUGGCUUGGAAGCAGCCAUUCAUUUAAAGAGUGCGUAACAGCUCACUAGUCGAGCGAUCUGGCGUGGAUAAUAAUCGGGCAUAAACGAUCUGCCGAAGCCGUGGAUGUCGUAAGACAUGGUAGGGGAGCAUUCCAUGCGGCGUCGAAGAUGAGGGAUGACCCUUGUUGGAGCGCAUGGAAAAGCAAAUGUAGGUAUGAGUAACGAUAAGGGGGGCGAGAAACCCCCCCGCCGAAAGACCAAGGUUUCCUGAUCAACGCUAAUCGGAUCAGGGUGAGUCGGGACCUAAGGCAAAGCCGAACGGCGACGCCGAUGGAAGAAUGGGUUAAUAUUCCCAUACUGCCUCAUGGAGUGACGUGGAGACGGAGAAGUGACAGUCCUGCCGGCUGACGGAAUAGCCGGUUGAAGGGUGUAGGAGUGGAUCAUGGUAGGCAAAUCCGCCGUGAGAUCCGAACCUGAGAGUAUACGGAGCGCUUGCGCGACGUAAUAUGGACGUAACCAUGCUCCCGAGAAAAUCCGCUAAACUUAUCCAUGCGGCACCCGUACCGUAAACGGACACACGUGGUCGGGUUGAGAAUACUGAGGCGCUCGAGUGAUUCACGGUUAAGGAACUAGGCAAAUUGACCCUGUAACUUCGGGAUAAAGGGUCCUCGUCGUAAGGCGAGGCGCAGAGAAUAGGUCCAGGCAACUGUUUAACAAAAACACAUGGCUGUGCUAAAUGGAAACAUGACGUAUAUAGCCUGACACCUGCCCGGUGCUGGAAGGUUAAGAGGAGAUGUCAUCGCAAGAGAAGCGUUGAAUUGAAGCCCCAGUAAACGGCGGCCGUAACUAUAACGGUCCUAAGGUAGCGAAAUUCCUUGUCGGGUAAGUUCCGACCUGCACGAAUGGUGUAAUGAUCUGGACACUGUCUCAACCGUGAGCUCGGUGAAAUUGUAGUAUCGGUGAAGAUGCCGAUUACCCGCGAUGGGACGAAAAGACCCCGUGAACCUUUACUAUAGCUUUACAUUGAAUUUGGGCAGACGAUGUGUAGGAUAGGCCGGAGGCUUUGAAGCAGGUACGCCAGUAUUUGUGGAGCCGACGUUGAAAUACGGCCCUUCGGUUGUUUGAGUUCUAACUCCCGGACGGGAGGACACUGUAUGGUGGGUAGUUUGACUGGGGUGGUCGCCUCCAAAAGCGUAACGGAGGCUUCUAAAGGUGCCCUCAGACCGAUUGGUAACCGGUCGCAGAGUGUAAUGGCAUAAGGGCGCUUGACUGGGAGACAUACAAGUCGAUCAGGUAGGAAUCGUGGCAAUUGAGAAUUGAAAAUUGAAAAUUAUAUAUUACCAUGAACACUAUUCAAGAUUUAGAGCGGCUCGUGGCCGCUAUCGAGAAACAGGGGGCGAACGUCGCUCCCACCUAUCAAGAGUAUAUGCCGCUGGCCUUCGCUAU